rnacentral:rRNA from 1 species
GGACUACACGGGUUUCUAAUCCUGUUUGAUCCCCACGCUGUCGCACCUGAGCGUCAGAUACGAGCCAGUGAGCCGCCUUCGCCACCGGUGUUCUUCCCAAUAUCUACGAAUUUCACCUCUACACUGGGAAUUCCACUCACCUCUCUCGUCCUCAAGUCUUACAGUUUCAAUGGCAGUUCCGGAGUUGAGCUCCGGGCUUUCACCACUGACUUGGAAGACCGCCUGCGCGCGCUUUACGCCCAGUAAUUCCGAACAACGCUAGCCCCCUUCGUAUUACCGCGGCUGCUGGCAC